UAUCCCAUUACAGCAUGCUUUGAAAGGA
rnacentral:piRNA from 1 species